UACGGAGGGUGCAAGCGUUAUCCGGAUUCACUGGGUUAAAGGGUGCGUAGGUGGGCAGGUAAGUCAGUGGUGAAAUCUCCGGGCUUAACUCGGGAAACUGCCAUUGAUACUAUCUGUCUUGAAUACCGUGGAGGUUAGCGGGAAUAUGUCAUGUAGCGGUGAAAUGCUUAGAUAUGACAUAGAACACCAAUUGCGAAGGCAGCUGGCUACACGAAUAUU
rnacentral:rRNA from 1 species